UACAGAGGGGGCAAGCGUUGUUCGGAAUUACUGGGCGUAAAGGGCGCGUAGGCGGCCCGCUAAGUCGAACGUGAAAUCCCCGGGCUCAACCCGGGAACUGCGUCCGAUACUGGCGGGCUUGAAUCCGGGAGAGGGAUGCGGAAUUCCAGGUGUAGCGGUGAAAUGCGUAGAUAUCUGGAGGAACACCGGUGGCGAAGGCGGCAUCCUGGACCGGCAUUGACGCUGAGGCCCGAAAGCCAGGGGAGCAAACGGG
rnacentral:rRNA from 1 species